rnacentral:rRNA from 1 species
AAUUUGAAAUCUGGCCCCUUCGGGGUCCGAGUUGUAAUUUGUAGAGAGUGCUUCGGGUGAGACCGCGGUCUAAGUCCAUUGGAACAUGGCGUCCCAGAGGGUGAGAAUCCCGUAUGUGACUGCGGCUCGAGCCCAUGUGAAGCCUCUUCGACGAGUCGAGUUGUUUGGGAAUGCAGCUCUAAAUGGGUGGUAAAUUUCAUCUAAAGCUAAAUACUGGCUGGAGACCGAUAGCGCACAAGUAGAGUGAUCGAAAGAUGAAAAGCACUUUGGAAAGAGAGUUAAACAGUACGUGAAAUUGUUGAAAAGGAAGCGCUUGCAACCAGACCUGUCCGUAGGCGAUCACCCGUUGUUCUCAGCGGUGCACUCGUUCUGCGAUCAGGCCAGCAUCGGUUCGGGCGGCCGGAUAAAGGCCUUGGGAAUGUAGCUCUCCUUCGGGGGAGUCUUAUAGCCCUCGGUGCAAUGCGGCCAGCCGGGACCGAGGACCGCGCUUCGGCUAGGAUGCUGGCGUAAUGGUUGUAAGCGACCC